UCCGGUGUGGUGUAUCGGUUUAUCAUUCCGCGUUUUCAGUUUCAUAACUCGAAAUAGCACCGCGGCGAGCGGGGUUCGACUCCCCGCACCGGAG